rnacentral:rRNA from 1 species
GACGAACGCUGGCGGCGUGCUUAACACAUGCAAGUCGAACGAAAAUACCAAGCUUGCUUGGUUGAUUAGUGGCGAACGGGUGAGUAACACGUGAGUAACCUGCCCCUUACUUUCCUGGAUAACUGCUCGAAAGGGUAGCUAAUACGGGAUAUUCUGACCAUCCUGCAUGGGUUGGUUUGGAAAGGUUGUUUUUCUGGUAAGGGAUGGGCUCGCGGCCUAUCAGCUUGUUGGUGGGGUGAUGGCCUACCAAGGCUUUGACGGGUAGCCGGCCCGAGAGGGUGGACGGUCACACUGGGACUGAGAUACGGCCCAGACUCCUACGGGAGGCAGCAGUGGGGAAUAUUGCACAAUGGGCGCAAGCCUGAUGCAGCGACGCCGCGUGAGGGAUGAAGGCCUUCGGGUUGUAAACCUCUUUCGUCAGGGAACAAGGCAUUGCCUUUUUUGGUGGUGUUGAGGGUACCUGGAUAAGAAGCGCCGGCUAACUACGUGCCAGCAGCCGCGGUAAUACGUAGGGCGCAAGCGUUGUCCGGAAUUAUUGGGCGUAAAGAGCUCGUAGGCGGCUGGUCGCGUCUGUCGUGAAAACUUCCGGCUCAACCGGGGGCUUGCGGUGGGUACGGGCCGGCUAGAGUGCGGUAGGGGUAACUGGAACUCCUGGUGUAGCGGUGGAAUGCGCAGAUAUCAGGAAGAACACCGAUGGCGAAGGCAGGUUACUGGGCCGUUACUGACGCUGAGGAGCGAAAGCGUGGGGAGCGAACAGG